ACGCUUCGACAGCACAUAUACUAAAAUUGUAAUGAUACAGAGAAGAUUAGCAUGGCCUCUGCACAAGAUGACAUGCAAAUUUGUAAAGUGUUCCAUGAUAUA